UACAGGCUCAUAGGCAGAAGGGACUAUCCUUGUCUCAGAUGAGACUUUUGACUAUGGACUUGAGAGUUAAUGUUAUAAUGAGACAGUCUCACUCAUCCAGACUAGAAUGCAGUGGCCCAAUCUCGGCUCACCACAACCUCCACCUCCAGGGCUCAAGGGAUUCUCCUGCCUCAGCCUCCCAAGUAGCUGGAAUUACAGGAGCACGCCACUACCACCCGGCUAAUUUUUGUAUUUCUAGUAGAGAUGAGGUUUCACCAUGUUGGCCAGGCUGGUCUAGAACUCCUGACCUCAAAUGAUCCACCCAUAUUUGUCUUUUUGUUACUGACUUGUUUCACUUAAGAUAAAGGUCGUUUGUUCUAUCCAUGUUGCUGCAAAAGACAUGAUUUUAUUAUUUCUUAUGACUGAAUAGUAUUCCAUUGUGUAUAUACACCACAUUUUUUUUAAAUUCAAUCAUCCAUUGAUGGACACUUACAUUGAUUCCAUAACUUUGCUAAUACUGCUAUAAACUUCCCUUUUAGAACUGCUUUUGCUGUAUCCUGCAGGUUUGGAUCUGUGAUGUGUCUUUUCUAUUUGUCUCAAUAAUUUUAAAUUUCUCUUUUAAUUUCUUCAUUAAAUCAUUGGUUAUUCAGAAGUGUAUUGUUUAAUUUUGAAGUAUUUGUAAAGUUUCUGAAGUUCUUCCUGUUGUUGAUUAUUAUUUUUAUACCAUUGUGGUCAUGAAAGAGAUUUUAUAUUAUUUCCAUCUUUUCAAAUUUGUUAAGAUUUGUUUUGUGGCAUGUUAUAUAAUCUAUGUUGCAGAAUAUUUUAUUGUUCCAUGUAUAGUUGAGAAGAAUGUGUAUUCUGCAGUUGUUGGAAUGCUCUGUAUGUGUCCAUUAGGUCCAUUUGUUCUAAAGUGCAGUUUAAAUUUGGUAUUUAUUUGUUGAUUUUCUAUCUGGAUGAUAUUUCCAUUGCUAAAAGUGAAGCCUUGAAGUCUCCAACUAUAAUUGUAUUGCUUUCUAUGUCUCCCAUUAGAUCUAAUAAUAUCUGCUUUACAUAUUGGGGUGCUGUGUUGUUGGAUGCAUGUAUAUUUACAACUUUUAUAUCCUCUAACUGAAUUAACCUAUUUACAAUUAUAUAAUGACCUUUUCUAUCAUUUUUUUAACAGAUUUUUACUUAAAGUCUAUUUUUUCUAUUGUAAGUAUAGCUAUUUCUAUUGUCCUUUUGUUUCCAUUUUCAUGGAAUAUCUUGAAUAUCUUUUUCCAUCCCUUCACUUUCAGUCUACUUGUGUACCAACAGUUGGAUUGAGUCUCUUGUGGGCAGCAUAUAGUUGGUUUUCAAUAUUUUCUUCCUUCACACACUUUAUAUCUUUUUUAAAAUUUUUGUGGAUAGCAGUAGGUGUAUAUAUUUAUGCAUUACAUGAGAUGUUUUGGUACCGGCAUGCAAAGUGAAAAAAGCACAUCAUAGAGAGUGGGGAUCCAUCUCCUACUCCAUAUCUUUAAAUUGAAGAAUUUAAUGUAUUUAAAUUCAAGCUUAUUAUUGAAAAAUCAAGACUUAUUUCUGCCAUUUUGUUAGUUAUUUUCUUGUAGUUUUGUAAAUUGUUUGUUCCUUUCUUCCUCUCUUGUUGCUUAUUUUUAUGUUUUGGUGGUUUUCUAUACUGCUAAACAGAUUUAUUGCUCUUUCUUUUCUGCUGUAUUUUUUUUCUUUAUUGUUACCAUGGGACUUAUUAAAACUCUUAUAGUUAUAAUAAACUAUUUUAAGCUGAUAAAACUUAACUUUGUUCACAUACAAAUACUGCAGACUUUCCCAUCCCUCAAACUUUUUUUUUUUUUAACAAUUUCAACUUUUAUCUUAGAUUCAGGUGGAAUAUGUGCAGGUUUGUUACAUGGCUAUAUUGCAUAGUAUCCAAUAGUUAGUUUAUCAACUCUUGCCCCCCUCCCUCCAUCCUCCCUGUAGUAGUCCCCAGUGUCUAUUUUUGCCAUCUUUAUUUCAUUGUAUACCCAAUGUUUAGCUUCACCGUGUAAGAAAGAUGAUGUGUUAUUUUGUUGUAGUCUAUAUUACAUCAUUAUAUAUUGUGUGUUUCUUAACAAUAUAUUGUAACUGUAGUUAUUAUUGACCACUCUGAGGUUUACUCUUCAUAAUAGAGAUCUGGAAGAUUAAUAUACUAACAUUCAGUAAUGGAGUUAUCUGAAUUUGAUUAUAUGUUCACCUCUACCAGGGAGUUUCAUACUCUUUUGUUUUUAUGGCAACUAUUAUUAUUUUUUCACUUCUGCUUGAAUCACACUGUAAGCAUUUCUUGUAAGGCCUGGCUAGUGGUGUGAAAUCUCUCAGCUUUUUGUUGUCUGGAAAACUUUUAUUUUUGCUUCAUUUCUGUAGAAUAGCUUU
rnacentral:lncRNA from 10 species